UUCCGGUUGAUCCCGCCGGACCCGACUGCUAUUUGGGUGAGGAUAAGCCAUGCGAGUCGAAUGGGAUACCUAAAUUUCCCAUGGCGAACUGCUCAAUAACACAUGAUCAACUUACCCUAUAGAGAAAAAUAACCUCGGGAAACUGAGGAUAAUGUUUCAUAGUUGAAAAGGCUUGGAAAAGUUUUUCGACCAAAGGGAUAAGAAAAAUGGUUUUUAUCCGCUAUAGGAUAGGAUCGUGGUCGAUUAUGGUCGUUGGUGAGGUAAUGGCUCACCAAGCCGAUAAUCGAUAGGGGCCGUGAGAGCGGGAGCCCCGAGAUGGGUACUGAGACAGCGACCCAGGCCUUACGAGGCGCAACAGGCGCGGAACCUCCGCAAUACACGAAAGUGUGACGGGGUUACCCAAAGUGUUCAAUUUUGAACUGUGGUAGGUGAGUAAUGUUCCCUACUAGAAAGGAGAGGGCAAGGCUGGUGCCAGCCGCCGCGGUAAAACCAGCUCUUCAAGUGGUCGGGAUAAUUAUUGGGCUUAAAGUGUCCGUAGCCGGUUUAGUAAGUUCCUGGUAAAAUCGGGUAGCUUAACUAUCUGCAUGCUAGGAAUACUGCUAUACUAGAGGACGGGAGAGGUCUGAGGUACUACAGGGGUAGGGGUGAAAUCUUAUAAUCCUUGUAGGACCACCAGUGGCGAAGGCGUCAGACUGGAACGUGCCUGACGGUGAGGGACGAAAGCCAGGGGAGCGAACCGGAUUAGAUACCCGGGUAGUCCUGGCCGUAAACGAUGCAUACUAGGUGAUGGCAUGGCCAUGAGCCGUGUCAGUGCCGUAGGGAAACCGUUAAGUGUGCCGCCUGGGAAGUACGGUCGCAGGCUAAAACUUAAAGGAAUUGGCGGGGGGAGCACCACAGGGGGGUUGAAGCCUGCGGUU
rnacentral:rRNA from 1 species